UCUAAUCAUGCUUAUUGUCGUCAGCAUGAGAUAACAGUAACUGGAGGUGAAGUGCCACCACCCUUUUCAUCAUUUGAAUCUACUGGCUUUCCUUCUGAGAUACUGAGAGAGGUGCGAUAUUUGCUCCUUGGAGGGGCUAAUGUCGUACGCUGUGGUGCCCUCUGUCGGGGGCUUUGCUUGUAAUUUGGGGCGCCCUUGUAUGGUGGACCGAUUUUCGGAAGGGUAUACUGGGUGACCCAAGUUUUUUGGACCGCCGAUGCUGAUG